rnacentral:lncRNA from 1 species
AAUAGCUGGCCAAGAAUAUUUAUUCCUAUUCCCUAUGGACAUAGCACCAUAUUUACUUCUGGAGCUCCAAGAGUUUUAAAGAUCUGAUCCUUAUCCAUGAGCUGUGAGAAGCCCAUGGGGCUCAACCAUGUGAUCAAAGGAUAAAAUAGACAGACUCAGGAGGCAAUGGCUCCCAUAGUUUUGAGCCUCCAGGUGCUUCACUGGCCCAUGUUGCCUCCCUAACCCACACCCUCAAAAACCAUCCUUCCUUACACUUUCCUCAGUUACUUCAUUUGAGAUUUGAGUGUGCCCUCCUUUUCUUUUCUGGACUCUUAUCUAACCCAGUAGUUGAGUAAAUUAUAUUUCACAGUUAAAAGAAAAAGUUUGAAAACUCAGGUCCUGUGAUGGGCUCUCUGCCCAGCUGUGUUCCAGGCACACCUGUGUCUUUGCUUUUUUUAUUCUUUCCAACCCCGCAUCAGGUAGGUUAUGUGGGAGAGGAAGUUAGGGGGAUCUGGACCAAGGAGGAUGAUCAGACACUUGACUUAUGGCCUAUGGAUACAGAUUUUUGGAAUCACAGCCAAUCGAAAGUACUCUGUCCCACUGUAACCAAAAGUAUGCUCAAGCACCCGUGCUAAGCUCCUGAGUUCCAUACACCUCUCUCCUGUAUGGACCAGAGAUUCUGAAGAGAGUUGCCAUAUCCAGACCAUUCAGUAUGAUUUCUGAGAAACUGAGCAUCAAAUUCCGGUACCUAGAGAAGUGUUGGGCCCAUGAUGGGUACUCAACACCUAUUCAUGGAUUAAUGAAUGAAUUCUGAGACAAACUCACAUGGUUCAUCUCUAUGGGUGGCAUAUGGGGUAGUGUCAUAGAAGUGUGACUCCUUGAGUGCAAAAUGUGUCCCCGUGUCUCCCUCCUACAUGUUCAAGCAUUAUCUGUGGAAUGCAAUCGACUGAUCAUUGCGAGAGUCCAGCAGAAGCAUCCAACUGGGUCUCUGAUUUUAACUUGCCUUUUAUAAGGGAAUACCCCAUGCAUUCUUGAGGUUGGCAUUUCAUUGCAAGCCCCCAGUUCUAGCUUAUUAAUUAACUAAAAGGAAAAAGGGUAAGAAGACUCUAAUCAACAGUGACCUCUAUCAGCACCAUCAGAGGCUUCCCACAAGAUGAUGCAGACUAAGAUACUACUUUAUUGCCUCAAGUCCUUCUUUCUCCCUCUUGGGGUUUGUUAAUAUUUUUCUGCCCCUCAGCCAGUGCCUCUUUUGUGCACUGACCCUGGGACCCCAGGGAAAUCCUGAUAGAGCAGAAUUUGCUUAGCCUUGCAGCCCUCAGGCCUCAAUGGCUAAGCCUGUGUUUUAUCACUUGCUUUUCUGAACAGACACACUUUAUAACAAAAGGUCCUGUUAGAAUAUGUACUUCCUGGAACAUGAAAGACAUGGAUGAGAGAAUUUCUGUGGGUGAAGUGGGUGGGAAUAGAGAAAUAAUUUAAAUUUGACUAGAACAUAUUUGAUUAUAAUAAAUAAAUAAAUAAAUAGAAUAAAAAAAUUCACUCCACAGCACCUGCCUACACAGAAGGAAAGAAAAUAUGUGUGAGAGGAUGGGGAGUGGGCUAAGAGCUCUGGCCCUAAAAAAACAGUUUGCUGGAUCCAAACUUCCUGUUGGUCAAAUAUUUUUUCAGGACACAUUUGCAAAAACCCUAGUGGAGCCUUGUGCUUUAAGAGCUGGUAUGGUGGGCAUGAACUUAGUCUUCACCACUUUCUGGCUGUUUAAACUGUAGCAAAAGGCUCGGGAACCAUGGGUUUCAGGUUCCUCACAGACAAAGUGGUGAAAGAUACUUAUUUUGGAAAGCUGGUCUGAGGAUGAAAUUAGAUAACAUAUAUAAGGGCUUUAGCUAAGCAAUGGCAUACAAUGAAUGCUAAAUAAAUACAAGAUUACCCUGUCUCCUGACCUUAAUUUAUUUAAUUUCAUAAUUCUGAAAACGAGGCAUUUAUUCAUUCAUUUGUACAUCUGUUCAGCAGUUAGUUAUGGUGCUAACCUGGGUCCUGGGUAUAACCUAAACAUAAUCCAAGUGAUGACGAACUCUAAUGGGCUCCUGCUCUCAGGGAGUUGAGUAGGAGAAAAAUCAGCACUAACAAUGCUUCAGGAGUUCUCACCAUGGUUCAGUGGUUAACAAAUCUGACUAGCAUCCACGAGGACACAGGUUUCAUCCCUGGCUUUGCUCAGUGGGCUAAGGAUCCAGUGUUGCUGUGGCUGUGGUGUAGGCUGGCAGCUACAGCUCCAAUUCAACCCCAGCCUGGGAACCUCCAUAUGCCGCGAGUGUGGCCCUAAAAAGCGCAAAAAAUAAAAAAUGCUCCAUAUGAAGGAGGUUUAGCUACAUGUGUGUUAGGAAGAAACAGAAUAUGGUCACAAGAGAUAGCAUAACAGGCAGAUAUGAAUUUGUAUGUGGAGGACAUCAGGAACGCCUCUCUGAAGAACAUGUAUUUAAGUUGAAACUGAAGGAAUAGAGUCUUCCCAACAAAAUCAGAAGGGUGGGAGUAGAAGAAAGAGGAGGACUCUGCAGUAGAUAAACUGUGUGAAGACCCUGAGGCAGGAAGAGGUGGGCGUGCUCAAGAAAUUGCAAGGAGGGUGUCGUGGUGCCCAUGUAUUGAGGGAGCUAGAGAGUGGGACCCAGUGACAGUGGAAGAGUGACCACUGAGAGUGGGAGAUGUGUUGGUGGCCUCAGAUGAAGUGGAAAAAGCAGACCACAGGAUAGGUUGUCCUGUGUGCCCCAUGUUGUGGGGAUGGUCGUCUCCCACCAAAGAUCAUGCUGUCCCUUCCAGAGUAAAGACUUGUUCCUGGGAAAAGCUGUCUAGUCAGGAUAGCGGUAGGUUCCCAAGCCCCUUGCAUUUAACAAGCAGUCAUUUGACUACUUGCUACCCACGAGUCAAAGUGAGGUGUGUCAUUUCUAGGACAAAACUGUGAAGAAACAGGUCCACCUUACCCAUAUACCCUCUUUCCCAUCCUUCCAGCUAGUAGCAGAUGUCUAUGAGACAAAGACAGUACAGUUUCAAGAGAGAAGAAACUUUUGUCCCUAAAUCCUGGGGGAUAUCUGCCUGCUGACUAGGGCCAUUUACCUUGGGAUGUUAUGUUACUGAGAAGUAACCUCUUAUAUUUCAACUGUUACAUAAUUUUUGUUCCAUUUAAUCCAGCACUUAAACAUUACUUUUACAUAUUGUACUAAAGAGUUUUGAUUUUAUUCUCAAAAAUUUAUUUUGAGGAGUUCCCGUCAUGGCGCAGUGGUUAACGAAUCCGACUAGGAACCAUGAGGUUGUGGGUUCAGUCCCUGCCCUUGCUCAGUGGGUUAACGAUCCGGCGUUGCCGUGAGCUGUGGUGUAGGUUGCAGACACGGCUCAGAUCCCACAUUGCUGUGGCUCUGGCGUAGGCUGGUGGCUACAGCUCCGAUUCAACCCCUAGCCUGGGAACCUCCAUAUGCCACGGGAGCGGCCCAAGAAAUAGCAACAACAACAACAAAAGACAAAAAAAAAAAAUUUAUUUUGAGUUCUAUUUUGUUCUAAGUUUAGUGGGAAGGCACUGAAGGAUUUUAAGCAAGGAAAUGGCAUGACCUGCUCUCACUAUAAAAUGAUGACUCUGGCUGAACAAAUUGAGAAUGGGGUUGGGAGGUCUAGAAUUGUACAAUAAAUAAGACAAGAGAUGAAGAUGGCUGAGAGUAGUGGUGGCAGUAAAGAAAGGGAAGUUCUCAGAGGAGGUGCAUGAGAGAGAUGCUGAAGAUAACCCUCAGGUUCUGACCAGAGCACCUGGCUGCUGUGAUGGUGGACUCUAGACUUGGCUGAGGGAGAAGGCAGAGAGGGCCAGAUUGAGCAGGGCAGAAGCAGGGGCAUUUCUGUGACACACCAUCUCUGUCAGUCUUUGCUAUGGAGCUCAUCUUUGAGGGACUGUGCAGUCACAUUACCAGAUGGAGUCUUCAGUCUCAUUGGCAUGGGAUGCCCUUCCCAUUCUAAGUAGCAAACCCAUCGUCUAUUCAUUCAUUUGCUCAUUCAAUCACUCAGCCGGGCACUGGGCUAGGACUGGGGGUCAGCACACAGUCCUGCUCUUGAGAAGCUCACAGUCUUCAUACUCUCCAUCUCUAACUGCUCAUAUAAAUCCACCACAGUGGGAUCAAUAAUGAGAAAUAGGCAGCCAGAGGAAUGGAUGAUUAGUGAACAUAUUUUUUCUGAUAUGGCGACGAUGAGUGAGGGGCAAGGGUAGGAGGGGAGCAGAAGGGCAAAGAAGGAUCAGAAAGGGCAAAGAAGGAUCAGAAAAGGCAAAGAAGGACUAUUUCCCCUAAAAAUUGAUGGUUUUUCCUCCUAUACAACUUUGUAGGAUACUUAAUAUGUGCAGGGAGAAAUCAAGACCCAGAUGCUUAUUGGGACCUCCCCAAAGUCUUUGACUCAAGGUCCAUGCCUUUGUCACUGCUUGCCAUGUGAUGCUCCCCUGGAGGGGAAAGUGCUGUUUAUCAAUGAGUUUAGAGUUAAGUGCUUGACUGUGGGGAUUAAGGAGAGGUUGCAGCUGCAGAGGGCAGAGUGAUGCCUCCUCAGCUGGACAGAUGCUCUGGGCUGCCUGGCCAUCAACCCUGGAUGAGGUACCAGUGGCUAAAACCAGUUUGGCUGGGUUCCCAGUAUGGAGCCAGAGGAUAAUGGCAAGCUGUGUCCUGUAGAGCCUGGGAGCCAAAUAUUGUCUCCUAGUCAGGGCAGAGGGUGCUGGGCUGGAACUAGGACAAGGUUGGAACGUGCAGGCAAUGGACCAGUGGUGCUUAGGAGACACAGCUUGGCUUUCAGACCUCAGGGCCUCAGUGGAUAUGUUACUGGGGGGGGGAGCUGUUUACGUGUGGCAUACAUGUGUAUGUGUGUGUGUGCGUGCACUUACAAGCAUUUGUGCAGAUCACAUAUGCACACACACACACACACAUGCUCGGGGCAUGUUCUGUGAUGGCAUGGGGUCAGGGAUGGGUCGAAUGGAAACAUAAGAACAUUGGGAACAGGAAACUAACUAACCUGGAAGCUGGGAGAGCCAGCCUGGGAAAGCACUUGUUCCAACCCAGGCUGGUUCUCCCUGCCUCACCGGGUCUUCCAGUUUUGUUCUCAAGAUUCACCACACAUAGUUCUUUCUUACACUGUUCUUACUUAUAACUGGGGAGGUAUGUGGAAGGCUUGGAGAUGCUGCCAGCUCUCCCCUAGAUGGAAGAGGCCCCUUAAGCCUUUGCUAGAAAGAUUCAGUGUCCAGACACGGUGCUAGUAUCAAACAUUUGGAUUCUGUCUGCAAAAAGUGAUCUGUUAGAUAUGAAGUGCUCUAAUGUUUCCACUUUUUGUAAGACUUUUCAGAAUAUAGGCAAAUAAAUCAUGAACGCUCAGCUUAGAAAUGCAGUGCUUUGAUUUUCAGAUUGGAUAAAGUGGUGUCUCAGCCCAUAACAACAGCGGAUUCCUUGAAGAUUUAUAUGCAAUCUAAUAACAAAGUGCUUACAAUGCACCAAACUCCCUAAAAGUACUCUUUUAAUCAUCUGACAAUCCCACAAAGUAGGUACCUUUAUUGUCUCCAUUUUAAAGAUGGGGCCAUUGAGGCUCUGUGAGGUCUGAUAACUUGCCCAAGGUGACACAAUUAGGGAGUGGUCCUGCCAGGAUUUGAAUCCAGUCUGCUGGGCUCCAGAAGCCCUGCUCUUGACUGUGUCCACCUCCUUCCAUGGACAAGAAAGAUAGCUGCUCUGCCUUGUCGUGUGUAAAUGGUCACUGGGCUGUCUCCUGCACUAAAUAGGAACCUAGAAGGAGGAGCUGUUUCUAAUUUCUCUUCACUUCUCCAGCUGGAGGCCCAGGAACUGGCAAGCAGGAAAGCCUACAAGGCUCGUUACAUGUUUGCUGUUGGGACUGGGAAGGCCUGCCAAGGUGAUCUGGUCCAUUCUUCUGCCUCAGCAGCAUCAUCUGGGAUUCUGCACACAGUGACCUUAUCCACGCGCUUCACCCCAUGACGGCUUUCCCUCCACAGUCUAAUCCCCUUUCAACAAGCUCCCCUGGCAGACCAAGUCCUGGUGCAUAACCAUGGGCAUCUGUCGUGUGCCCAUGGAAAUGUGCCCACAGCACUGAACAGUAAACACUUUUUCUGGGCUGGGCACCAAAGCUGGCUGUGGUGGCUUGCUACCUCCAUGACAAAACUCCCUCUGGUUCCAACAAUGAUUUAUCCACUGAGCCUGCUGCCAGUUUCACUGUCUUCCUUUCAUUUCAGGAGCACAAUAGGUAAAAAUCUACUGGUACAGCAGAUGCUGGGUUAAACUUAGAGAUUCAGACAUAGACACUUUCCUGAGUGGGGAAAGAAACAUCCCACGUGGCUUGGGUUUUCUCCAGAAGGUCGCCCUGAGGCCUGAUACAAAUGAGAAAAAUAGAUGAGCCUUUUUACAUUUCCCUAAUAGACUGGGAAGAGAAGCGAAUUGAAUCACAAAGUCCUAAUAAGCACCUUUUCAAAAUGACAGGUCUUGACCUAACAAAUAAGCUGGCCAAAGGAGGCAGAAGGGUAACAUUUA